rnacentral:rRNA from 1 species
CCUACGGGUGGCAGCAGUGAGGAAUAUUGGUCAAUGGGCGCAAGCCUGAACCAGCCAUGUCGCGUGAAGGAUGACGGCUCUACGGGUUGUAAACUGCUUUUAUAAGGGAAUAAAGGGAGUUACGCGUAUCUGUUUGAAUGUAUCGUAUGAAUAAGGAUCGGCUAACUCCGUGCCAGCAGCCGCGGUAAUACGGAGGGUUCGAGCGUUAUCCGGAUUUAUUGGGUUUAAAGGGUGCGUAGGCGGUCUGUUAAGUCAGAUGUGAAAUUUUGAGGCUCAACCGCGGAAUUGCAGUUGAUACUGGGCGGCUUGAGAGCAGUUGAGGUAGGCGGAAUGUGUGGUGUAGCGGUGAAAUGCUUAGAGAUCACGAAGAACACCGAUUGCGAAGGCAGCUUACUAA